AUGGCAUCUGGAGAUAAUUCUCUCAUCAACAUGUCCUAUUGGGAGUGUGGUAAAAGGAGGAUGCGAUUCUUGUAUAUUACAAACAACAACUCGUUUAAUGUUGCUAAACCAAGCACAAACGAGGAUCAGAUGAUCCCUCUCUUUCUUGGAGCUGAUCUGUUCGCAGACACAGAUGUUCACAGUAAAAAUCAGCCCAGAUACCAUGCGAAAUAUGCUAAACGAGGAUUGGCAACCAAACUGGUUUUCCCAUCAGACUACAGAUUCCAAGGACUGCGACUCCCCUAUUCCAACAACAGUCUGUGGUUCUAUAGUGUUCAUGGAGUUUUUCGAGUGGCAUUUGAACUGUAUAGCAAACAAGAUCAGCUCUCAGUUAUGGAGUCAUUUCAGGAUGUAUGGAAAUCUCGAAUAAAUGACAACAACUUGAACAUGACCUAUCAUCUUGGUGCCCAGGAUGUUCAACCCCAAAAUGAUCAAGAUGCGCAAACAAUUUUGGAAAAUAAUACAUGUUCAUCAUACCAAGUCAAUCGACAGUUUGGCGAAGUAGAAACAAACUUCUUUCCAAUAGUCACAGAUCAGUCAGAUAUUUCAGCAGCUUCAGACCAUGACUACUGUUCCUCAGAGCAAACAAACUUAAGCCAGUCUACUUUACUUGCACAGAAACUUCGAAGCCUAGGGGAAAAAGUGAAGUUAUUUACAAGUAUUGAAGCAGAACAUUUGAAGACUGCCACAAAGGUCCUGGACUAUGUUGAAUACUGUAUUACUGGGAUGAUUGACGAGGAAAAACUGAUGGACACUGUGAUGGCCCUGUUUCAAACUCAUUUUCAGAGCUACUCCAUCUACUCAAGCAGUCUGCUGAAGGCUGUGGCAGGUUGGCUUGGCCAGCAGUUCAAUGCAGCCAACAGCACCAUUAGCCACCGGGUUGAAGGUUUUAAGGCCCAACACAUUGAGCACAUUACAAACUUGCCGCCUCCAGAGGAGCUGGCAACUGAACUUUUCCCAGAGGCAAUGCGAAAUCUUCUUACACACUGGAUGGGUCUGAGUGAUGAGGCAGAAAACUGGAAAAGACACAGCGAAUACCCCAUUUUAUUACUUAUUCUAGAAUUUGCUAAUCACAAUCUUAUCACAGGAGUAGCUCAUGUCUUGUAUUCCAGUCUAAUAUGCAAAUAAGUAUACUUCGAUGUAGGUUAUACAUUACAUAUCAUUUGGUCGCAGUUUUGUUGGUUUAUAGCCUUAAAACACAAUUGAUUUCAAAUAAAUAAAAAAAAGUCAAAUGUUUAUGUCCUUUC
ensembl:lncRNA